UGCUGAGACAGAAAUGACUGACAAAUCUUAAGAUAUGAUGCUUUCCUGGGGUAAUUUUCAUUUUUAUAGGCAUCAAAGAAAUGAAAUGUUAUGGAGGAAUUUCAGGCACUGACAAGCAGGUGGGAAGGUGUUUUAUUUUAUUUUUUAUUUUUUUUAAAUGCUGGAUUGACUUCCUGAGAUCACACCCUUUAGGCAAUCACCCAUGCCACUGAAGUGUAAAGACACAUGUCCUCCAGUGUACUUGUCAGUGGUCAAUUCUGGGAGGUGAGCUUACUGGUGCAUUCAAGGCACUAUCCCUGCAAGAUAUUAACGAGUCCGUGGUACACUCAAAAGAGUGAAUGACUAUCCCUAAUGCCUGACUGCUAGAGGAUUGUGGGGAGAAGAGGGAAGGGAAUUUCAGAACUUGAUGUAUAGAGAGGGGAUACAAACCAUUCUCAAAUGACUUCUCUAACAGGGAUCGGUGGGUAAGACAACACAGCCCAAAACCUGAACCCAACCUGGAAGAAUCUAUUCUUUCAGAAGGAAUUCUGGUAACAACCCAUCAUUACUCUUAAAAUACUAUGUGUAUGUCUGAACGUACCCUGGGCUUAUGGAGGAACACUACUAUAUCUUAAAUGCUUUUGGGGAGGAGAGAGAGGAACAUACAUUUACAGGGCCAUGUGUACCACAAACCUACCCUAGGUGGGCUCUCCUCAUUACAUCUCACUGGAACGCUGUUUGAUCAGCAUUUACAUCAUAGCCACAAAAGCCUUGGCCCCUUGAAGCACGGAACAUGUAAGGUAUUUGAAGGCUGUAGGUGGCUGGCCUCCAUGGGUCCUUUCUAGCCCUGAACAUCAACAUUUCUGAUCUUCUCUUCCCAUCAAGACCUGCAGCAGCUGCUUCUUACAACUUCCAUAACCGGGACCAGACAACAUUUAACUUUGGGCUCAAGGGAAGAAUGAGCUGCAGUGACCUUCCUUUUCCAAAAGUGAUCUUUGGGGUGAUUGGGAAUGAAUAUAAACAAGGAUUAAUUUUUACCUGAUCAAGUAGGGCAAUAAUGGACAUUUCUAUUGAUUUUCCUCCCUCAAGCCAAUUAUGCAGAUGAGAUGUUCAUGCACAAUACUGCAGGUAGUAUAUUACUUCUCCUAUCAAUUCCCAGAAAGUUCACGUGGGAAGAGCAAAGAAUAGUUGAGCUCAGUAAUUUAUUGGAGAAGAGGGCCCCGGUCCCGGGAAGGCAAAGCUCCUCCUUGCUUUCCCCUCUUCUCCCCCUUUCAAUCGUCCAAUCCUUUACCCUUGCCCGGCUCCUAGGACCCAGCAUGUGGCCGCCAUCC